rnacentral:tRNA from 1 species
GCGGGUAUAGUUUAGUGGUAAAACCAAGCUAACGAUGCGGGUUCGAUUCCCGCUGCCCGCU